GUAGGUGCGUGCAUUCAGUCUUUCCUGCUCAGGUUGUAUCGCGUCACACAGCUAAAAGCGCCUGCUUUUGGUUCACCUCACUUUAUAUAGGAAAAAAUAUCAAUAUCACCUUCGAAUAUUAAACCACAGUACAUCCGCCAUGGUGCUUCUCCAUUACUACAUACUAGCAAGCGCCAUAGUAAGUAAACCAAAAACCCUAUCGCAAAAA